CUAAAUCUGUGUCUUUCAACAAAAAAAGUUUUGAAUGAGAAAUGUUGGCCCGCUCUAAUGACGACUCUCAUACCGCUGAGCACUUGAGAACAUGCUGAACUUUGAAGCAUGCAUCGUUCAGUUAAUCAAUGGGGUUAUUUCCUUGCUGAAAUAGACAGGAAGUAAUGCAUCGUGGGAUCGAGAGGAACCCAGACAUUCCCUUCUGCUUGAAUGAAGCUCAGAUUUGACAGAGGCAAGAGGAGAGAGGACUACAGCAGCUGCAACAAGGUGGAACUGCUGAGCUGUAGGAAUAGCCACAGUGUAAAGUCAAUGGCAUUCAAAGCACUAACCGCAGGGAUCAAUUGAAAAGAGGCAGCAAGAAGUGUGACUCUGACGGGAGGUACAAGGUCAAAGCAGCUGGUGGGAAAAAAUCUGAGUAGUAGCAAAAAAAAAAAAAAAUCAUAUUCAUAGAACCACAUUCUUGCCAUAGUUGGUAUGUUCCAAUUUCUUACUGGGAACUUGCAACCAAGCACACUACAUAACAAACAGGACUAAUGAUAAUUAGGUGCCAUACAUGACAAUUCGACACUCCAAUUCUUCACAGGCAAUGGAAAUUCACUGACAUUGUGCAUUGUCCUGAACACAAAAGAGGCAUUCCACAGAGAAUAAAGCAGGAACUCUGCCUGCUUAGCCGAGAAAAAUCAAAGCAAAGCAAAUGUCAUAUUUUCCACGCGCAGAAUAGCUACACUCAUUCAUGCAUAUAAACUUAAAUGCAGAAACAUGACUGUCAGGGAGCAAAGCUGCCAAAACAAUGAAAAACGGUCUGUAGACAGCUUCUUCGUUAGAUUUGAGACUCGUUUUUCAAUGGAGGUGGGCACGAUAUGUAUGUUACAUUAAGAGAACACAGCAUAAAGACCAAUGCCUUAGAACGUAGACGUUAAACGUAUAAAGCUCUGCAAUUAAUUCAAUCGCUAGCUUUUUAUUCAGAUCCAAACUUUGGUGGGUGAAGAGAAAUUUCCAGCAUUUACAGAGUUCCAAUUUCAAAUAUUAGACACUGGUUUCAUCUUGGAAUAUUUCUAAUGCAAUUGUCCCACCUUGCCAAAAAGGCUCCAGUACUAAAAGCAAGGGAUAAAAUGUGCUGCUCAUAGCAGACUCCUCUCUGACCAGAUUAAG